UAGCUCAGCUUGGUAGAGCACUUGGUUUGGGACCAAGGGGUCGCAGGUUCGAAUCCU
rnacentral:tRNA from 1 species